UACGUAGGGUGCAAGCGUUGCCCGGAAUUAUUGGGCGUAAAGAGCUUGUAGGCGGUCUGUCGCGUCUGCUGUGAAAAUCCGGGGCUCAACCCCGGACUGCAGUGGGUACGGGCAGACUAGAGUGUGGUAGGGGAGACUGGAAUUCCUGGUGUAGCGGUGGAAUGCGCAGAUAUCAGGAGGAACACCGAUGGCGAAGGCAGGUCUCUGGGCCACUACUGACGCUGAGAAGCGAAAGCAUGGGGAGCGAACAGG
rnacentral:rRNA from 1 species